UACGGAGGUUGCGAGCGUUGUCCGGAAUCACUGGGCGUAAAGGGCGCGUAGGCGGCCUGAUAAGUAGGGGGUGAAAUCCUGCGGCUUAACCGCAGGGCUGCCUUCUAAACUGUCAGGCUCGAGCACAGUAGAGGCAGGUGGAAUUCCCGGUGUAGCGGUGGAAUGCGUAGAGAUCGGGAAGAACAUCAGUGGCGAAGGCGGCCUGCUGGGCUGUUGCUGACGCUGAGGCGCGACAGCGUGGGGAUCAAACAGG
rnacentral:rRNA from 1 species